rnacentral:rRNA from 1 species
UGGGGAAUUUUGGACAAUGGGCGAAAGCCUGAUCCAGCAAUGCCGCGUGUGUGAAGAAGGCCUUCGGGUUGUAAAGCACUUUUGUCCGGAAAGAAAUCCUUGGCUCUAAUACAGUCGGGGGAUGACGGUACCGGAAGAAUAAGCACCGGCUAACUACGUGCCAGCAGCCGCGGUAAUACGUAGGGUGCAAGCGUUAAUCGGAAUUACUGGGCGUAAAGCGUGCGCAGGCGGUUUGCUAAGACCGAUGUGAAAUCCCCGGGCUCAACCUGGGAACUGCAUUGGUGACUGGCAGGCUAGAGUAUGGCAGAGGGGGGUAGAAUUCCACGUGUAGCAGUGAAAUGCGUAGAGAUGUGGAGGAAUACCGAUGGCGAAGGCAGCCCCCGGGCCAAUACUGACGCUCAUGCACGAAAGCGUGGGGAGCAAACAGGAUUAGAUACCCUGGUAGUCCACGCCCUAAACGAUGUCAACUAGUUGUUGGGGAUUCAUUUCCUUAGUAACGUAGCUAACGCGUGAAGUUGACCGCCUGGGGAGUACGGUCGCAAGAUUAAAACUUAAAUGAAUUGACGGGGUCAUAGCUGUUUCCU